AGAGUUUGAUCAUGGCUCAGAACGAACGCUGGCGGCAGGCCUAACACAUGCAAGUCGAGCGCGCCUUCGGGUGAGCGGCGGACGGGUUAGUAACGCGUGGGAACGUGCCCUUCUCUACGGAAUAGCCUCUGGAAACGGAGAGUAAUACCGUAUACGCCCUUUGGGGGAAAGAUUUAUCGGAGAAGGAUCGGCCCGCGUUAGAUUAGGUAGUUGGUGGGGUAACGGCCUACCAAGCCUACGAUCUAUAGCUGGUUUUAGAGGAUGAUCAGCAACACUGGGACUGAGACACGGCCCAGACUCCUACGGGAGGCAGCAGUGGGGAAUCUUAGACAAUGGGGGCAACCCUGAUCUAGCCAUGCCGCGCGAGUGAUGAAGGCCUUAGGGUCGUAAAGCUCUUUCGCCUGUGAUGAUAAUGACAGUAGCAGGUAAAGAGACCCCGGCUAACUCCGUGCCAGCCGCCGCGGUAAU
rnacentral:rRNA from 1 species